UGGGGAAUAUUGCGCAAUGGGGGCAACCCUGACGCAGCCAUGCCGCGUGUGUGAAGAAGGCCUUCGGGUUGUAAAGCACUUUCACUUGGGAAGAAAAGUACACCGUUAAUAGCGGUGUGCCGUGACAUUACCUUGAGAAGAAGCACCGGCUAACUCCGUGCCAGCAGCCGCGGUAAUACGGAGGGUGCGAGCGUUAAUCGGAAUUACUGGGCGUAAAGCGCGCGUAGGCGGUUUGUUAAGUCAGCUGUGAAAGCCCCGGGCUCAACCUGGGAACUGCAGUUGAUACUGGCCGACUGGAGUACGAGAGAGGGAGGUAGAAUUCCAUGUGUAGCGGUGAAAUGCGUAGAUAUAUGGAGGAAUACCGGUGGCGAAGGCGGCCUCCUGGCUCGAUACUGACGCUGAGGUGCGAAAGCGUGGGGAUCAAACAGG
rnacentral:rRNA from 1 species